AGUGAACGCUGGCGGUAGGCCUAACACAUGCAAGUCGAACGGCAGCACAGUAAGAGCUUGCUCUUACGGGUGGCGAGUGGCGGACGGGUGAGGAAUACAUCGGAAUCUACUUUUUCGUGGGGGAUAACGUAGGGAAACUUACGCUAAUACCGCAUACGACCUACGGGUGAAAGCAGGGGAUCUACGGACCUUGCGCGAUUGAAUGAGCCGAUGUCGGAUUAGCUAGUUGGCGGGGUAAAGGCCCCCCAAGGCGACGAUCCGUAGCUGGUCUGAGAGGAUGAUCAGCCACACUGGAACUGAGACACGGUCCAGACUCCUACGGGAGGCAGCAGUGGGGAAUAUUGGACAAUGGGCGCAAGCCUGAUCCAGCCAUACCGCGUGGGUGAAGAAGGCCUUCGGGUUGUAAAGCCCUUUUGUUGGGAAAGAAAAGCAGCAGGUUAAUACCCCGCUGUUCUGACGGUACCCAAAGAAUAAGCACCGGCUAACUUCGUG
rnacentral:rRNA from 1 species